UAGCCCGCGUGUGUGAAGAAGGCCUUCGGGGUUGUAAAGCACUUUCAGUAGGGAGGAAGGUAGUGUAGUUAACACCUGCAUUAUUUGACGUUACCUACAGAAGAAGCACCGGCUAACUCCGUGCCAGCAGCCGCGGUAAUACGGAGGGUGCGAGCGUUAAUCGGAAUUACUGGGCGUAAAGCGCAUGCAGGCGGCCUGUUAAGUCAGAUGUGAAAGCCCGGGGCUUAACCUCGGAAUUGCAUUUGAAACUGGCAGGCUAGAGUCUUGUAGAGGGGGGUAGGAAUUUCAGGUGUAGCGGUGAAAUGCGUAGAGAUCUGAAGGAAUACCAGUGGCGAAGGCGGCCCCCUGGACAAAGACUGACGCUCAGAUGCGAAAGCGUGGGGAGCAAACAGGAUUAGAUACCCUGGUAG
rnacentral:rRNA from 1 species